rnacentral:rRNA from 1 species
GACGAACGCUGGCGGCGUGCUUAACACAUGCAAGUCGAACGGAAAGGCUCCAGCUUGCUGGAGUACUCGAGUGGCGAACGGGUGAGUAACACGUGGGUAAUCUGCCCUGCACUCUGGGAUAAGCCUGGGAAACUGGGUCUCAUACUGGAUAUGACCUUUCUCCUUAUGGGGUUUGGUGGAAAGUUUUUCGGUGUAGGAUGAGCCCGCGGCCUAUCAGCUUGUUGGUGGGGUGAUGGCCUACCAAGGCGACGACGGGUAGCCGGCCUGAGAGGGUGAUCGGCCACAUUGGGACUGAGAUACGGCCCAGACGCCUACGGGAGGCAGCAGUGGGGAAUAUGGCACAAUGGGCGGAAGCCUGAUGCAGCGACGCCGCGUGAGGGAUGACGGCCUUCGGGGUGUAAACCUCUUUCAGCAGGGACGAAGCGUAAGUGACGGUACCUGCAGAAGAAGCACCGGCUAACUAUGUG